UCGAACGCGAAAGGGGAGCAAUCCCUGAGUGGAGUGGCAAACGGGUGAGUAACGCGUGGGUGACCUGCCUCAGAGUGGGGGAUAACGUCCCGAAAGGGACGCUAAUACCGCAUAACAUCCUGCCUUUGGAAAGGCGGAGAUCAAAGCCGGGGAUCGCAAGACCUGGCGCUUGGAGAGGGGCCCGCGUCUGAUUAGCUAGUUGGUAGGGUAAUGGCCUACCAAGGCAACGAUCAGUAUCCGGCCUGAGAGGGCGGACGGACACACUGGGACUGAGACACGGCCCAGACUCCUACGGGAGGCAGCAGUGGGGAAUUGUUCGCAAUGGGCGCAAGCCUGACGACGCAACGCCGCGUGGAGGAUGAAGAUUUUCGGAUCGUAAACUCCUUUCGAUCGAGACGAAUGGCCUUUGGGCUAAUAACCCGAGGGAAUGACGGUACCGAGAGAAGAAGCCCCGGCUAACUCCGUGCCAGCAGCCGCGGUAAUACGGGGGGGGCAAGCGUUGUUCGGAAUUACUGGGCGUAAAGGGCUCGUAGGUGGCCAACUAAGUCAGACGUGAAAUCCCUCGGCUUAACCGGGGAACUGCGUCUGAUACUGGAUGGCUUGAGUUUGGGAGAGGGAUGCGGAAUUCCAGGUGUAGCGGUGAAAUGCGUAGAUAUCUGGAGGAACACCGGUGGCGAAGGCGGCAUCCUGGACCAACACUGACGCUGAAGAGCGAAAGCCAGGGGAGCAAACGGGAUUAGAUACCCCGGUAGUCCUGGCCCUAAGCGAUGAAUGCUUGGUGUGGCGGGUAUCGAUCCCUGCCGUGCCGAAGCUAACGCAUUAAGCAUUCCGCCUGGGGAGUACGGUCGCAAGGCUG
rnacentral:rRNA from 1 species